rnacentral:rRNA from 1 species
UUGCUGGUGUUUAUAGCAGAGGGGCCACACCUGAUCCCAUUCCGAACUCAGAAGUUAAGUCCUCUUGCGGCGAUGGUAUUGCAUUGGUGACAAUGUGGGAGAGUAGCACGACGCCAGCUCU